rfam:Parcubacteria bacterium GW2011_GWB1_50_9 TY60_C0028, whole genome shotgun sequence.
GGGGGCGUCGGGAUUCGACGUCUUUUCGAUCGCAAAAAAUCGUGUUGGGGGCGUACCGACCUCCAUAACAAACGGUACACACAAUAAGUGCAAACUUAUUUAAAUCCUUUACGCGGCAACCCGCUUUGGCGUUUGCCUAAAUAAAGGGUCUCUCGCGGACUUCGGUCUGUGAGCAUCGGCGGACGUACGCGCGUGAGGUCCAUACCCGGUGUUAUACCAUCGCGCUUGGCAUACCUGAUUGUUCGAUACGGUAUGCGACGCAAUCGAACAAAUUUUCUGACUUCGGUCGGAAUACGCACGUAAGCGUUUUUUGCGAGACAAAAUUCGGACGGGAGUUCAACUCUCCCCGCCUCCAUGA